rnacentral:rRNA from 1 species
UAGGGAAUCUUCCGCAAUGGACGCAAGUCUGACGGAGCAACGCCGCGUGAGUGAAGAAGGAUUUCGGUUCGUAAAACUCUGUUGUUAGAGAAGAACAGCGCAUAGAGUAACUGUUAUGCGUGUGACGGUAUCUAACCAGAAAGCCACGGCUAACUACGUGCCAGCAGCCGCGGUAAUACGUAGGUGGCAAGCGUUGUCCGGAUUUAUUGGGCGUAAAGCGAGCGCAGGCGGUUAGAAAAGUCUGAAGUGAAAGGCAGUGGCUCAACCAUUGUAGGCUUUGGAAACUGUUUAACUUGAGUGCAGAAGGGGAGAGUGGAAUUCCAUGUGUAGCGGUGAAAUGCGUAGAUAUAUGGAGGAACACCGGUGGCGAAAGCGGCUCUCUGGUCUGUAACUGACGCUGAGGCUCGAAAGCGUGGGGAGCGAACAGG